CUCGGCGACCAUGGCGAAGGGGAAACACCCGGCUCCAUUCCGAACCCGGAAGUUAAGCCCUUCAGCGCCGAUGGUACUGCGUGGGAGACCACGUGGGAGAGUAGGACGUCGCCGGAC
rnacentral:rRNA from 1 species